AUCGAUGAAGAACGCAGCGAAAUGCGAUAAGUAAUGUGAAUUGCAGAAUUCAGUGAAUCAUCGAAUCUUUGAACGCACAUUGCGCCCCUUGGUAUUCCGGGGGGCAUGCCUGUUCGAGCGUCAUUUCAACCCUCAAGCUUUGCUUGGUCUUGGGCUCUGCCAGCAACGGCUUGCCUUAAAAUCAGUGGCGGUGACAUUGAGCUCUACGCGUAGUAAUUAAACCCUCGCUUUUGAGUCUUGAUGGAUGCUUGCCAGCAACCCCUAAUUUUUUUAUGGUUGACCUCGGAUCAGGUAGGGAUACCCGCUGAACUUAAGCAUAUCAAUAAGCGGAGGAAAAGAAACCAACAGGGAUUACCUCAGUAACGGCGAGUGAAGCGGUAACAGCUCAAAUUUGAAAUCUGGCUCUUUCAGGGUCCGAGUUGUAAUUUGUAGAAGAUGCUUCGGGUGUGGCUCCGGUCUAAGUUCCUUGGAACAGGACGUCAUAGAGGGUGAGAAUCCCGUAUGUGACUGGCUGCCUCCGCCCAUGUGAAGCUCUUUCGACGAGUCGAGUUGUUUGGGAAUGCAGCUCAAAAUGGGUGGUAUAUUUCAUCUAAAGCUAAAUAUUGGCCAGAGACCGAUAGCGCACAAGUAGAGUGAUCGAAAGAUGAAAAGCACUUUGGAAAGAGAGUUAAACAGUACGUGAAAUUGUUGAAAGGGAAGCGCUUGCAAUCAGACUUGCACGCUGCCGAUCAUCCGGUGUUUUCACCGGUGCACUCGGUUGCGUUCAGGCCAGCAUCGGUUUGGGUGGUUGGAUAAAGGCCUUGGGAAUGUAGCUUCUUUCGGGGAGUGUUAUAGCCCUCGGUGCAAUGCAGCCUAUCCGGACCGAGGACCGCGCUUCGGCUAGGAUGCUGGCGUAAUGGUUGUAAGCGACCCGUCUUGAAACACGG
rnacentral:rRNA from 1 species